GCGGUAAUACCGGCGGCUGGAGUGGUGGCCACUUUUAUUGGGCUUAAAGCGUUCGUAGCUGGGUUGUUAAGUCUCUUGGGAAAUCCGGCGGCUUAACCGUCGGGCGUCUAAGAGAUACUGGCAAUCUUGGAACCGGGAGAGGUGAGGGGUACUUCGGGGGUAGGAGUGAAAUCCUGUAAUCCUCGAGGGACCACCUGUGGCGAAGGCGCCUCACCAGAACGGCUUCGACAGUGAGGGACGAAAGCUGGGGGAGCAAACCGGAUUAGAUACCCGGGUAGUCCCAGCCGUAAACGAUGUGCGUUAGGUGUAUCGACGACCACGAGUCGUCGAGGUGCCGAAGGGAAACCGUGAAACGUACCGCCUGGGAAGUACGGUCGCAAGGCUGAAACUUAAAGGAAUUGGCGGGGGAGCACCACAACAGGUGGAGCCUGCGGUUUAAUUGGACUCAACGCCGGGAAGCUCACCGGAUAGGACAGCGGAAUGAUUGCCGGGCUGAAGACUCUGCAUGACUAGCUGAGAGGAGGUGCAUGGCCGUCGUCAGUUCGUACUGUGAAGCAUCCUGUUAAGUCAGGCAACGAGCGAGACCCACGCCAACAGUUGCCAGCACGAUCCCCGGAUCGGUGGGGACACUGUUGGGACCGCCUCUGCUAAAGAGGAGGAAGGAAUGGGCAACGGUAGGUCAGCAUGCCCCGAAUUAUCCGGGCUACACGCGGGCUACAAUGGGCAGGACAAUGGGUAUCGACACCGAAAGGUGAAGGCAAUCUCCUAAACCUGUCCGUAGUUCGGAUUGUGGGCUGUAACUCGCCCCACAUGAAGCCUGGAAUCUGUAG
rnacentral:rRNA from 1 species